UCACAUCAUAAAUACCUAACCGCUUCAAUUUUACCCCCAGUUUCAAGAACGAUGAUGAUAAUAUAGCCGUUGGUUGGCGGUGGCGCGAAGAAGAAUCACAGAGUGAUCGAGUUCACGCAGUAAACCAUCAUCGCUCUUUGUUUUCCGGUUAGGGUUUCUCUUUCCCCUCUUUCUUUCUUUCUUUCUUUCUUUCUUGUUCUUUCUCCUACCCGGCGAUUACUGAUUACUGGUUAGGGUAUCCACUGUUUGUUGUUUCAUAUGAAACCCUUGAUAUCGGAAAACCCUGUUUCUUCGAUUUUCUCGAUUUCGCCCUAUGGGUGUGCAUGUUUCGCUUUCUUCAAGUCACCGAGCUUGCAGCCUUGCAAAACAGGGGCAUGCUGGAGCAGCUAUUGCAUAUGGAUCUCUUCUUCUUAAAGGCACGCUUCUUCCAACAACUUAUAUCAGGUGUUAGUUAUUGUAAUGCCAUGCAGGUAUGCCAUCGUGACUUGAAGUGGUAAAAUACAUUGUUGGAUGGUAGUCCCGCUCCUCGUUUGGAAAUUUCUGGUUUUGGCUAUUCAAAUUAAAGUAUUUGUGCCUGGUAGAGAAAGUUUGAUUGGUGUUAGCAAAAUGACCCUUAUACGGUUGGAGAAUGUGUGUUAUGUGCUUCACUUUCUCCCCACACUCGCAGACAUUUGCAGCGCUAUGACAGAGGGUGUCGCGGUCGCCAAGUUGCGGAGGAUGAGUGGGACAUAUGCAUCCCCUAUACUACAGAUACAUGAGUUUCUUGUGAUUAAAGCCAGAAGGUUCACAGACUGUAGUUUGGAUACUAGAAUUCUAUUGAUGUACUUCAAAUUUAUACUGGUGAUGAUUGAACUGAUGUGUAUGCUUUAAGGUUUUUGCAAAGACACUUCAAGGGAUUGGGAUUCUUGUUUCUAGAGUUCCAAAGGAGACUAAGAUUCCUACAAGUUCCUUGCAAUAUCCAUUUGAGGCAAGCCCUGAAGAAGGCAAAUGAAUAUGGUGCAGUAGAAAUUUGGAUGAAUGAGAGAGUAUGAAGAGCUUGUGCAAACAGCUGUGCAUAUUUUGUUUAUGGCUUUCUUGAGAGCUCUACUAUGAAGGCUGCUGAAUACUGACUCAUAUGGCAGUUUGAGGGGAUUCGACCUGAUCUGAUUUGAUGCAGAGUAGAGAGCUUCCCAUUUAUAUGCGCCCACGACACUGGCACCUGCUCGGAACUUCAGGUUAUUGGGCUAAAAGUCUGGAACAGGAGAAGAGGAUGGUUUUCUGUCUCCUUGAAGCUAUUAGACAAGCAAGCUUUCGGUGUAGAGACAACUUCAAAUCUUGUUAAUUUAUUUGAUAUGCUGCACCAGAACAGUACAUCAUGAGCACACAAAUCCCAUAUGUAUCUUCAGCUCCAGUUGUAAAACUGCACUGUCCCCAAUCUCAUGACAGUUUGUGAAGUGUUUGAAGGGGCUCCACAAGACCACUUUUAAUCUCACACGUUGUUACAUCUUCUAGUGUGGUUUUCUUUUGUGAAAAGGUGGAAAAGAGAUAAGGAGUGGAACAAGAAAAGAGUGCUCAAUAGAGAAAAAAUCAUAAAAAGUAUGAAACAAUUGUAUUGGCGGGUGAGUGAGAAAAUUAAAAAGAAAAAGUAAGAUUCUCAUGUUGAAUAUUCACUAGUUUGCCAUUUCCCCCUUUUAGUUAAUUUUUCUUUUUUAUUUUCUUCUUUUACAAUUGUAUUGCUUGUUAUAGUACGUUUGUAUUAGGAAUUCUCAUUGUAAUUUUUCUUUUUAGAUUGUAUCUAGGAUCAAAUCUUUGUACUUUGUAGUUCCUUUGUAUUAGGAUAUAGUUUUGUACUUUUCUUUUUCUCUUGUAAGAGGACUUUGGACAUUGUUUUGGGA